CGGGGUGUAGCUCAGUUGGUUAGAGUUCACGUCUGGGGGGCGCGAGGUCGGACGUUCGAGUCGUCUCACCCCGAC
rnacentral:tRNA from 1 species